rnacentral:rRNA from 1 species
ACGAUAACGGCGUCGAGCGGCGGACGGGUGAGUAAUGCCUAGGAAAUUGCCCUGAUGUGGGGGAUAACCAUUGGAAACGAUGGCUAAUACCGCAUGAUGCCUACGGGCCAAAGAGGGGGACCUUCGGGCCUCUCGCGUCAGGAUAUGCCUAGGUGGGAUUAGCUAGUUGGUGAGGUAAGGGCUCACCAAGGCGACGAUCCCUAGCUGGUCUGAGA